CCUAAGGUAGCGAAAUUCCUUGUCAGGUAAGUUCUGACCCGCACGAAAGGUGUAAUGAUUUGGGAGCUGUCUCGACAAUGUACUCGGCGAAAUUGUAGUACUAGUGAAGAUGCUAGUUACCUGCGACAAGACAGAAAGACCCCAUGGAGCUUUACUGCAGCUUGAUACUGGGUUUCGGUAAUUUAUGUACAGGAUAGGUGGGAUGCUAAGAAGUAUGUGCGCCAGCGCAUAUGGAGCAGACGUUGGGAUACCACCCUUAAAUUACUGGAAUUCUAACUAUAAGUCCUAAGCGGGCUUGAGGACAAUGUCAGGCGGGCAGUUUGACUGGGGCGGUCGCCUCCUAAAGAGUAACGGAGGCGCGCAAAGGUUUCCUCAGCGCGGACAGAAAUCGCGCGAAAGAGUGCAAAGGCAGAAGGAAGCUUAACUGAGAGACAGACAUGUCGACCAGAUACGAAAGUAGGUCUUAGUGAUCCGGUGGUUGUAAGUGGAAAUGCCAUCGCUCAACGGACAAAAGUUACCCUGGGGAUAACAGGCUUAUCUCCCCCAAGAGUUCACAUCGACGGGGAGGUUUGGCACCUCGAUGUCGGCUCAUCGCAUCCUGGGGCUGUAGUAGGUCCCAAGGGUUGGGCUGUUCGCCCAUUAAAGUGGUACGCGAGCUGGGUUCAGAACGUCGUGAGACAGUUCGGUCCUUAUCUGUCGCAGGCGAAGGAUAUUUGAAGGGAGUUGACCUUAGUACGAGAGGACCAGGUUGAAGGAACCGAUGGUGCACCAGUUGUACUACCAAGUGCAUAGCUGGAUAGCUAAGUUCCGAAGGGAUAAACGCUGAAAGCAUCUAAGUGUGAAGCCCACCCUAAGAUAAGAUAUCCCAUACCAUAAGGUAGUAAGAUUCCAUGUAGACGACAUGGUGAUAGGUUGGAGGUGUAAGUGCAGUAAUGCAUUAAGCUGACCAAUACUAAUAAAUCGAGGGCUUAACCAC
rnacentral:rRNA from 1 species